GCGGUUUGAAGGCCCCGAGGCAAGCAAAGGCUUCGCAAUAUGUCGGGCCUUUCCAUAACUCUGGCAACAAAUAUUAUAGGACCACUACUGAUAGCUAAGUAUUUUGCUUCUUUAUUGAUGAAAAGAACUGAAGCAUUUGGGCAUCAGUCUGCUGAUCAGGCCAAACAACACAAGACCAAAUUAAUCAACAUUACAGCAAAAGUGAGCUCCACUGGAGAAAAUGGUUGCAAGGUGAUAUCACAGUGUGGAUCUGAUCUGAUGAAACCAAAGCUAAUGCUGGUGCCUGCAUAUGAUGGCAACAGUACUCAGACCAYGAACUUGGGAACAUUGGCCUCAUAUUAGCUCUAAAUGUACUAGAGAACAGAUCAAACAACUAUUGACGUAGAGAAUAACAGAAAUUAUGUCAAACAAGGACUUCAGACGGUGUGUUUUGAG
rnacentral:lncRNA from 1 species